rnacentral:rRNA from 1 species
AUUGAACGCUGGCGGCAUGCCUUACACAUGCAAGUCGAACGGUAACAGGUCUUCGGAUGCUGACGAGUGGCGAACGGGUGAGUAAUACAUCGGAACGUGCCCGAGAGUGGGGGAUAACGAGGCGAAAGCUUUGCUAAUACCGCAUGCGAUCUCAGGAUGAAAGCAGGGGACCGCAAGGCCCUGCGCUCACGGAGCGGCCGAUGGCAGAUUAGGUAGUUGGUGGGAUAAAAGCUUACCAAGGCGACGAUCUGUAGCUGGUCUGAGAGGACGACCAGCCACACUGGGACUGAGACACGGCCCAGAUUCCUACGGGAGGCAGCAGUGGGGAAUUUUGGACAAUGGGCGCAAGCCUGAUCCAGCCAUGCCGCGUGCAGGAUGAAGGCCUUCGGGUUGUAAACUGCUUUUGUACGGAACGAAAAGACUCCUUCUAAUAAAGGGGGUCCAUGACGGUACCGUAAGAAUAAGCACCGGCUAACUACGUGCCAGCCGCCGCCGCUGUAA